rnacentral:rRNA from 1 species
UACGUAGGGUGCAAGCGUUAAUCGGAAUUACUGGGCGUAAAGGGCGCGCAGGCGGCUCAUUUUGUCAGGCGUGAAAGCCCCGGGCUUAACCUGGGAACUGCGUUUGAUACGGAUGGGCUAGAGUUCGGGAGAGGAGAGUGGAAUUCCCAGUGUAGAGGUGAAAUUCGUAGAUAUUGGGAAGAACACCGGUGGCGAAGGCGGCUCUCUGGACCGAUACUGGCGCUGAGGCGCGAAAGCGUGGGGAGCAAACAGG